rnacentral:rRNA from 1 species
GUGGGGAAUAUUGGACAAUGGGCGCAAGCCUGAUCCAGCCAUGCCGCGUGAGUGAUGAAGGCCUUAGGGUUGUAAAGCUCUUUCAGUGGGGACGAUAAUGACGGUACCCACAGAAGAAGCCCCGGCUAACUUCGUGCCAGCAGCCGCGGUAAUACGAAGGGGGCUAGCGUUGUUCGGAUUUACUGGGCGUAAAGCGCACGUAGGCGGAACGUUAAGUCGGGGGUGAAAUCCUGGAGCUCAACACCAGAACUGCCUUCGAUACUGGCGAUCUUGAGUCCGGAAGAGGUGAGUGGAACUCCUAGUGUAGAGGUGGAAUUCGUAGAUAUUAGGAAGAACACCAGUGGCGAAGGCGGCUCACUGGUCCGGUACUGACGCUGAGGUGCGAAAGCGUGGGGAGCAAACAGGAUUAGAAACCCCAGUAGUCC